rnacentral:lncRNA from 1 species
GUCACUUUCAGGAGCAAAUGACCUUUGUGCUUUGUACAAAAUCUGGCUCUUGAUUUGACGUAAGGGAAGAAAGAAAAAGAAAACUAACAAGAGCUGGGUAGAAAUGGCACAAUAACACUCCAUUCUUAGCAGUUCUAGGCAUUAACCAAGGUUCCCUCCACUCAGCUCUUUCCAGCAAUAAAUUGACUAUUUUUGUUAAUAUGAUGCUUGCUGUAUCAUGAU